rnacentral:lncRNA from 1 species
CUAACCCUAGAAAUUUUCUGUAAGUGUUAAAUCAAUUUUGAGAUGCUUACUUCGCGAUCUCAUAACUCCUUCGUUAUAACUUGGAACGAGGUCGUUCCAAAGCCAUUCUUUUCCUUAUCUUACGUAAUUUAAUACCCAUCGAGCAGAAAUUCAAUAUAAAUCUGUUAAUGUGCCAUUCGAUUGGCUUGAUUUUCACCCUUUGUUCAUUUUAUGUGUUUAACGCUCUUCGUUCGUUCGUCCGUAAUUCGGUCAUCCAAACUCGGAACUCGCUCGUUCUUGAGUCCGCGACUCACGUUUUCUAUAUUCUCUUACUUUUUUAUGAAACCCUACACGUUCGGAUUCAUUUACUAACUUUCUAAUUCUCUUUUGACUUUUAUAAAAUUUUCGCCAUAACUUCGUUAUAGCUAAGUUUUAAUCCGUUCUUCAUGAAUAUUUCUACCGUUCCUAACAAACCAAGAAGCAACUAACUUAUACACGAUGGUUUUAAACUUGUCCAUCAACAACAAUUAUCCUAUGAUGGUUUUAAAUUUGUCCAUCAACAACGUUCUUCGUGUUCUUCGCGUGUUCUUCGUUCGUUCUUCAUUUUAAUCAAUAUUUUGGAUUACGAUUCCACUUUUUAUUGGAAUUUAAUGUUAUAGAACAUCAUUCCUUACUUAUUUCACCAACUUAUUCAUAUAAUCCACUCGGAUCGCUCUAAUUCAUUACGAAUCUUAUACUUCCUUAAGAAAUUUAUAAACUAAAUUUCUAAGUUCUUAUUUCUUCUUUUCUCAUGAUUUCAACCAUAUAAACUCAUAUCUAACCUUAUCUACUUCUUAUCUUCAUUAAUUUAUGUUUUAAACAUAUUAAACUUAAAGAAAAUUCUAUUAGAAGCUAGGUUAUAGAUUACCUCUUCUUCUUCUUUUUCUCCCCCUAGACAAAGCCGACGAUUUGUAAGCUUUUCUAUUUCACGAUCACCCUUGAUCCGAGCAUCCAUGCUCAUGUUCUUUCUUCUUCUCCCCAUCGGACUUCUCUAUCUCUCUCUCAAGUGUGGGAUUUUCAAAAUUCUCAAAAUAAAUAAAUGAGCUUCGUAUUUAUAGAAAAU